UUAGGUUUAUCUUAUGCAAAUAGUUUGAGCCCUAGGUUAAAAAGCGAUUAGCGACCCUAUUCACCCCCUCCCCCUCUAGGGUCGGACACCCCGGUGAUCCUUACAUACGGGAAUCACCGCUAUUGAUACAACGGCCGAGCAGCACUAUCCAGUGGAUGAGAUCACCCAGCGGACACCUUGUGCGCUUCAAACUUGCAGUAAGAACUUAAGGUUCACGGUUGCGUAUGGUUCCGCCAUGCCAAGAACACCAAGCAAGGUGUACCAUGGGCAGGAGAUCCCGGCUGGAUACGCUAAAGUUGGGGUCGAGGAGGUGUGCAAUGAUUGGAAGAAUCUCGAGCUCGAUAUUCCUGGAGGUGACGGGGAGACAACACUAGCAGACGUUGUUCAUGGUUACAUCCUAUGGGACAAGCGGUACAUCAUCCUCAAGCCUACCGAUCAGGGAUCAAGGCCGACAUCGCCGCAACCCGAUCGUCGUUCACCUCCUCCGCCACUGUCUCCGGGAGCUGCCCCAGAACACUCUGCUGCUGAGCCGCCAUCUCCUAGGCAGCCGUUGACUACUCCUGUUGAGCCGCCAUCUCCUGGCUCACCUCCUCCUUCACCGCCAAAGAAGCGAAAGAAGACGGAGCCAGAGAAUCAGGAUAAACCACUGGACCCUUCAAAAUUAAAAUUUUUUAUUGGAAUGAAAGAAGCAAAUAGGGGAAAGUUUAUUGAGAAACCUCUUUCGGACUACGAUCGCUCAAUUAAGAAAUCAUACCAAAAGAGUAAAUCAAGGUCGUCAUCGUCCGAUGUUCCACAGCUGGGGGCCCAAGAGAAACAGUCAAUACAACCGCUAGUUGUUCUAAAUCAGGAACAACAAGGCUUUUUGGGGUUCUUGCAGUCAUCAAGGCUCACUACUGAUGACAUAACAGGGGCUUCGAACUAGAAUCCAGAUCCGGAGAAAGAGUAUCCGAUAGCUCCAGUGGUGAGAUGGGCAUAUAAGGAGGGCACCAGCCUUGUCCCCCCCCCCCCAGAGAUUGUGCCUUUGCUUCCAACGCAAAUGCGAAGGCUACAUGACUUGUACAUGAAGGCGAUGAGUGCUUGUAACUUCAUGCAGGGCGCAAAGAUUACAGAUGAAGAUUUCUUUCGUGGAGAGGCCAUCAUAUAGAUUGAUUGGGAAGAAAUCUACCAACUAUACCAUCAGGACUCCCUCGACAUCUCUAUCGUCGCUUUGUGGCUGCUGAUGGAGAUUCAAACUUGCCGGAAAAAAGGGUAUUACCAUGUCGGCUUCGUCGACCCAAUAAUUGUGAAUUGCAAGAAUCUCAACAGCAAUCCUAAAGAAACUUCCAAAAACUUGUACAAAUACUUAGCCAUUCAGCACUAUAAGUCGACCAUUGCAUUUCCGUACAACUUCGGAGAUCACUGGAUACUAAUUAACAUAUAUCCUGACAAGAGCUUGGCGAUUGUUAUGGACUCAUUGCGCAGAGAUCAAGAACAAUACAAAGACAUGACCGACAUGUUGGACAAGGUUUGGAAGAAAUUCGUUCGGAACCAUAGUGGCAAUAAUUUCAAUCCCGAACUAAAGUGGAGGAAAAACUAUCCG